UUGCCAAAUUACCUCCUCAUCCUCACCGUACAUUGCAUGCACUAUAUGAUUAUUAUGUACGUCAUCAAUCACAGCAGCUCAUUCUGUAGAUCGUAUACAUCAAGCUCGCGUCUCGAUAUGCCACUAUAGGAACAAACAGCUAUGAUUACACCACAAGUCCACUGUAACUCAGCCUACCGUUAACGGUGCAUCCCUUCGACUGCCUCAUAUCCCGCCAGACAGGGACGUUCCUGG
rnacentral:lncRNA from 1 species